UGUUAUUUUAGAUCAAGAAAGACGUGGAAUCGACCUCAAUCGAGGAAAAGAAAAGAUUGUGGACUAAAUUGCAAAAUCUUUGUAUUUUGGUACCAAGUUUUGGACAAGCCAGCUCAGGAGUCGGGAUAGGUCGAAGGCUCAGUCACACUAUCCAGAAGAUUUUUGGUAAAUGGCUUGUAAAUUUAAGUAUGGCAUGUAUAGCAAUAUACCCAUUUUGUGUAAAUGAUCUUAUGGUAUGGUUGUGAAAUGGUUGAGGAAAUGCUUGAUAAUGAUAAAUUAGGAAAA